AGGUGGACCGGGGAGGAGACACGGUUAACCUAUGAACUUAUUAUAACGAGAGAGAAAAGGGAAUU
rnacentral:rRNA from 1 species